rnacentral:rRNA from 1 species
AACGAACGCUGGCGGCAGGCUUAACACAUGCAAGUCGAGCGCCCCGCAAGGGGAGCGGCAGACGGGUGGGUAACGCGUGGGAAUCUACCGUGCCCUACGGAAUAGCUCCGGGAAACUGGAAUUAAUACCGUAUACGCCCUACGGGGGAAAGAUUUAUCGGGGUAUGAUGAGCCCGCGUUGGAUUAGCUAGUUGGUGGGGUAAAGGCCUACCAAGGCGACGAUCCAUAGCUGGUCUGAGAGGAUGAUCAGCCACAUUGGGACUGAGACACGGCCCAAACUCCUACGGGAGGCAGCAGUGGGGAAUAUUGGACAAUGGGCGCAAGCCUGAUCCAGCCAUGCCGCGUGAGUGAUGAAGGUCUUAGGAUUGUAAAGCUCUUUCACCGAUGAAGAUAAUGACGGUAGUCGGAGAAGAAGCCCCGGCUAACUUUGUGCCAGCCGCCGCAGUAAGAC